rnacentral:lncRNA from 10 species
CAAAACGACCAUCACACCGUUUGCUGUGCUGUGAGAUGCUCACUGGGAGCGCCCCAACAGCUGUGUGCACACGGGUGAGUCUUCAGGAGACACCAAAACGACCAUCACACCGUGUUUGCUGUGCUGUGAGAUGGUCACUGGGAGCUCCUCCACAGCUGUGUGCACACGGGUGAGUCUUCAGGGGACACCAAAACGACCAUCACACCGUUUGCUGUGCUAUGAGAUGGUCACUGGGAACUCCCCCACAGCUGUGCACACACAGCUGUGUGCACACAGCUGUGCGCACACGGGUGAGUCUUCAGUGGACACCAAAACGACCAUCACACCGUUUGCUGUGCUAUGAGAUGGUCACUGGGAACUCCCCCACAGCUGUGUGCACACGGGUGAGUCUUCAGGGGACACCAAAACGACCAUCACACCGCGUUUGCUGUGCUGUGAGAUGCUCACUGGGAGCCCCCCACAGCUGUGCGCACACGGGUGAGUCUUCAGUGGACACCAAAACGACCAUCACACCGUUUGCUGUGCUAUGAGAUAGUCACUGGGAACUCCCCCACAGCUGUGCACACACAGCUGUGUGCACACGGGUGAGUCUUCAGGGGACACCAAAGCGACCAUCACACCGUUUGCUGUGCUGUGAGAUGGUCACUGGGAGCUCCCCCACAGCUGUGUGCCCACGGGUGAGUCUUCAGUGGCACUUCCCACCCCCCACACUGCCCCUACACAGCCACCUCCUCGGCCAUCAUGCUGGUCUCUAAAUCAGCUGGGGGAUUUGAGGAGGGAACUCUGCCAAUCACUUGGAUAUUGACUUGGAGAAUCACAGACAGACUCACAGACAGCCCUCCCUGGAGAGGGGGCCCGCUUCCCCAAGUCACCAAGCAGCGUGGUGAACAAGGUGAGGCCCUGGCCUUCGCGCCUCCAGGCUGCCCACAAUCACCUCCACACCUGUGCGGCUCUGCUCCGGACCGCGUCUCUGCUCUUCGCCUCCCUUGACUCCCAGGGUUCCCUGCGUCUCGUCACUCACAGUGUUUCCACAUUGGCCAGUGAGCACCACCUCGGGCCCCUCCUCAGAUCCACAGACCGGAACCUGCCUGUUAGCAAGGGCGCCGGCAGCUCCUCUGCAGACUGAAGUCUGAGCAGCUUGGCCCACAGCACUUGCUUGGCCGGUGCCUAGCCUGCACUGUGGGUCGUGUGUCUGUCCACUUCUUACCAACCCAGGCGAGGCCAAGGUCUGUGCAGGAAAAAUCCCACCCCGUGUGUCCUUCAAUCCCACCCCAACUUUUCCAGCGUUUGUUCCAUGAUAUGUAUUUGAAAGCCGUUGGUUCAUGGUUGGUUGAAGUGACUUAUUUUCAGAGACAGUCUUUUACAUCUAUUAUUAAAAUAGCAGCUAACUUUUCUCAAAAUGCACACAUAAUACUGAAAUGGAUUGAGGUGAAAUUAAAGGUAAUUAGAGAACUUUGUACAUUAUAUUUUAAUUUGCA